rnacentral:rRNA from 1 species
UACAGAGGUCUCAAGCGUUGUUCGGAUUCAUUGGGCGUAAAGGGCGCGUAGGCGGCGGGGUCAGUCGGGUGUGAAAUCUCCGAGCUUAACUCGGAAACUGCCUUGGAUACUAUUCGGCUGGAGGGUUGGAGGGGGGACUGGAAUUCUCGGUGUAGCAGUGAAAUGCGUAGAUAUCGAGAGGAACACCAGUGGCGAAGGCGAGUCCCUGGACAACUCCUGACACUGAGGCACGAAAGCUAGGGGAGCAAACAGG